AUUGAACGCUGGCGGCAUGCCUUACACAUGCAAGUCGAACGGUAACAGGUCUUCGGAUGCUGACGAGUGGCGAACGGGUGAGUAAUACAUCGGAACGUGCCUAGUAGUGGGGGAUAACUACUCGAAAGAGUGGCUAAUACCGCAUGAGAUCUACGGAUGAAAGCAGGGGAUCGCAAAACCUUGUGCUACUAGAGCGGCCGAUGGCAGAUUAGGUAGUUGGUGGGAUAAAAGCUUACCAAGCCGACGAUCUGUAGCUGGUCUGAGAGGACGAUCAGCCACACUGGGACUGAGACACGGCCCAGAAUCCUACGGGAGGCAGCAGUGGGGAAUUUUGGACAAUGGGCGCAAGCCUGAUCCAGCAAUGCCGCGUGCAGGAUGAAGGCCUUCGGGUUGUAAACUGCUUUUGUACGGAACGAAAAGCCCUGGGUUAAUACCCUGGGGUCAUGACGGUACCGUAAGAAUAAGCACCGGCUAACUACGUGCCAGCCGCCGCCGUAAUAC
rnacentral:rRNA from 1 species